rnacentral:rRNA from 1 species
GACGAACGCUGGCGGCGUGCUUAACACAUGCAAGUCGAACGGAAAGGCCCUUCGGGGUACUCGAGUGGCGAACGGGUGAGUAACACGUGGGUGAUCUGCCCUGCACUUUGGGAUAAGCCUGGGAAACUGGGUCUAAUACCGAAUAUGACCACGCUCUUCAUGGGGUGUGGUGGAAGGCUUUUGCGGUGUGGGAUGGGCCCGCGGCCUAUCAGCUUGUUGGUGGGGUAAUGGCCUACCAAGGCGACGACGGGUAGCCGGCCUGAGAGGGUGACCGGCCACACUGGGACUGAGAUACGGCCCAGACUCCUACGGGAGGCAGCAGUGGGGAAUAUUGGACAAUGGGCGAAAGCCUGAUCCAGCAAUGCCGCGUGAGUGAUGAAGGCCUUAGGGUUGUAAAGCUCUUUUACCCGGGAUGAUAAUGACAGUACCGGGAGAAUAAGCUCCGGCUAACUCCGUGCCAGCAGCCGCGGUAAU